UUUGGUUAAGUUAGAAAGGGCGCACGGUGGAUGCCUUGACACUAGGAGUCGAUGAAGGACGGGACUAACGCCGAUAUGCUUCGGGGAGCUGUAAGUAAGCUUUGAUCCGAAGAUUUCCGAAUGGGGAAACCCACCAUACGUAAUGGUAUGGUAUCCUUAUCUGAAUACAUAGGGUAAGGAAGACAGACCCAGGGAACUGAAACAUCUAAGUACCUGGAGGAAGAGAAAGCAAAUGCGAUUUCCUGAGUAGCGGCGAGCGAAACGGAACAUAGCCCAAACCAAGAGGCUUGCCUCUUGGGGUUGUAGGACAUUCUAUACGGAGUUACAAAGGAACGAGGUAGACGAAGCGACCUGGAAAGGUCCGUCGUAGAGGGUAACAACCCCGUAGUCGAAACUUCGUUCUCUCUUGAAUGUAUCCUGAGUACGGCGGAACACGUGAAAUUCCGUCGGAAUCUGGGAGGACCAUCUCCCAAGGCUAAAUACUCCCUAGUGAUCGAUAGUGAACCAGUACCGUGAGGGAAAGGUGAAAAGCACCCCGGAAGGGGAGUGAAAGAGAUCCUGAAACCGUGUGCCUACAAAUAGUCAGAGCCCGUUAAUGGGUGAUGGCGUGCCUUUUGUAGAAUGAACCGGCGAGUUACGAUCCCGUGCGAGGUUAAGCUGAAGAGGCGGAGCCGCAGCGAAAGCGAGUCUGAAUAGGGCGUUUAGUACGUGGUCGUAGACCCGAAACCAGGUGAUCUACCCAUGUCCAGGGUGAAGUUCAGGUAACACUGAAUGGAGGCCCGAACCCACGCACGUUGAAAAGUGCGGGGAUGAGGUGUGGGUAGCGGAGAAAUUCCAAUCGAACCUGGAGAUAGCUGGUUCUCCCCGAAAUAGCUUUAGGGCUAGCCUUAAGUGUAAGAGUCUUGGAGGUAGAGCACUGAUUGGACUAGGGGUCCUCAUCGGAUUACCGAAUUCAGUCAAACUCCGAAUGCCAAUGACUUAUCCUUAGGAGUCAGACUGCGAGUGAUAAGAUCCGUAGUCAAAAGGGAAACAGCCCAGACCGCCAGCUAAGGUCCCAAAGUGUGUAUUAAGUGGAAAAGGAUGUGGAGUUGCUUAGACAACUAGGAUGUUGGCUUAGAAGCAGCCACCAUUUAAAGAGUGCGUAAUAGCUCACUAGUCGAGUGACUCUGCGCCGAAAAUGUACCGGGGCUAAAUACACCACCGAAGCUGCGGAUUGAUACCAAUGGUAUCAGUGGUAGGGGAGCGUUCUAAGGACAGUGAAGUCAGACCGUAAGGACUGGUGGAGUGCUUAGAAGUGAGAAUGCCGGUAUGAGUAGCGAAAGACGGGUGAGAAUCCCGUCCACCGAAUGCCUAAGGUUUCCUGAGGAAGGCUCGUCCGCUCAGGGUUAGUCAGGACCUAAGCCGAGGCCGACAGGCGUAGGCGAUGGACAACAGGUUGAUAUUCCUGUACCACCUCUUUAUCGUUUGAGCAAUGGAGGGACGCAGAAGGAUAGAAGAAGCGUGCGAUUGGUUGUGCACGUCCAAGCAGUUAGGCUGAUAAGUAGGCAAAUCCGCUUAUCGUAAAGGCUGAGCUGUGAUGGGGAAGCUCCUUAUGGAGCGAAGUCUUUGAUUCCCCGCUGCCAAGAAAAGCUUCUAGCGAGAUAAAAGGUGCCUGUACCGCAAACCGACACAGGUAGGCGAGGAGAGAAUCCUAAGGUGUGCGAGAGAACUCUGGUUAAGGAACUCGGCAAAAUGACCCCGUAACUUCGGGAGAAGGGGUGCUUUCUUAACGGAAAGCCGCAGUGAAUAGGCCCAAGCGACUGUUUAGCAAAAACACAGCUCUCUGCGAAGCCGUAAGGCGAAGUAUAGGGGGUGACACCUGCCCGGUGCUGGAAGGUUAAGGAGAGGGGUUAGCGUAAGCGAAGCUCUGAACUGAAGCCCCAGUAAACGGCGGCCGUAACUAUAACGGUCCUAAGGUAGCGAAAUUCCUUGUCGGGUAAGUUCCGACCCGCACGAAAGGUGUAACGAUUUGGGCACUGUCUCAACCAGAGACUCGGUGAAAUUAUAGUACCUGUGAAGAUGCAGGUUACCCGCGACAGGACGGAAAGACCCCGUGGAGCUUUACUGUAGCCUGAUAUUGAAUUUUGGUACAGUUUGUACAGGAUAGGCGGGAGCCUUUGAAACCGGAGCGCUAGCUUCGGUGGAGGCGCUGGUGGGAUACCGCCCUGACUGUAUUGAAAUUCUAACCUACGGGUCUUAUCGACCCGGGAGACAGUGUCAGGUGGGCAGUUUGACUGGGGCGGUCGCCUCCUAAAGUGUAACGGAGGCGCCCAAAGGUUCCCUCAGAAUGGUUGGAAAUCAUUCGUAGAGUGCAAAGGCAUAAGGGAGCUUGACUGCGAGACCUACAAGUCGAGCAGGGACGAAAGUCGGGCUUAGUGAUCCGGUGGUUCCGCAUGGAAGGGCCAUCGCUCAACGGAUAAAAGCUACCCCGGGGAUAACAGGCUUAUCUCCCCCAAGAGUCCACAUCGACGGGGAGGUUUGGCACCUCGAUGUCGGCUCAUCGCAUCCUGGGGCUGUAGUCGGUCCCAAGGGUUGGGCUGUUCGCCCAUUAAAGCGGUACGCGAGCUGGGUUCAGAACGUCGUGAGACAGUUCGGUCCCUAUCCGUCGUGGGCGUAGGAAAUUUGAGAGGAGCUGUCCUUAGUACGAGAGGACCGGGAUGGACGCACCGCUGGUGUACCAGUUGUUCUGCCAAGGGCAUAGCUGGGUAGCUAUGUGCGGAAGGGAUAAGUGCUGAAAGCAUCUAAGCAUGAAGCCCCCCUCAAGAUGAGAUUUCCCAUAGCGUAAGCUAGUAAGAUCCCUGAAAGAUGAUCAGGUUGAUAGGUUCGAGGUGGAAGCAUGGUGACAUGUGGAGCUGACGAAUACUAAUAGAUCGAGGUCUUAACCAUAUAA
rnacentral:rRNA from 1 species